CUUGUUACGUGUCAUCCAAAUUUCCAUCGUAUAAAACGGAAAAACCCUAUCUUUCUUCUUCGGUUCGGAGAGAUUUCUCAAGUUGAGCUUCAGAGGAAGAAGAAGAAGCGGCUGCAAAUCACAACAUGACGUUUAAGCGAAGGAAUGGUGGUCGUAACAAACAUGGCCGUGGUCAUGUUAACUUCAUCCGUUGUUCAAACUGUGGAUAAGGCAAUCAAGAGAUUUUUGGUGAGGAACAUCGUUGAACAAGCUGCUGUUAGAGAUGUUCAGGAAGCUUGUGUCUAUGAUGGAUACACUUUUCCUAAAUUGUACGCCAAGA